CUGUGUACUUGCCCACGAAGUAGUGUUUUUUUUUAAUUUUUUUUACCACACAUUACCAGCACACAAAGAUCACUGACAGGAAGAACGGAAAGCAUGCAUCUUUGCAGUUUUGUUGAGCUAGUUUUUUAAAAGAUGAACCAUAGCGACAAAACAACAAACUACACUGCAGCCGUGAGGUUGAAGUCAUUUCCCUGUGGGGGUGUUGGGUCCCUGGAGGAGAGCAGCUCUAAUGAGACCCGAUCUGUGGCUUGUUGCUGCUUGGCUCAUCAGACGCAUUCAUCACUCUGACUGAUAUCAGACUCCAUGACAGCUGACAUUUUGUGACUGUUUGAAUCCCCCAUGAAUGGCAGCAUGUGAAAACAUCCGCUCUGCUUUUGCUGCUGCUAAAUGUCUUUGGUCGCCAUGGAGAUGUGGACCACAGUAUACUUUACAAAGCAGCUGCCUGCAGUGUCUCAGCAUUGCUAGAGAAGCUUGUGCGGGAUCUAAAGAAGCUCAUGGUCAUUUGAUUCUGUGCACGUCUAUCACAAGUGCAUCUGGAGGAAUACUGAAACUGAGGCCUGCAAAUGUUAUGACAGUAACUCUCAUCUGUAUCUGCAGGUAGGAUUAUAAAACUCUAUUAAUGAAUAACCAAAUACUGUAAAAACUGUGUGGUAAAGAAAAUAUAUUUUUUAUUUCACUGCACUUUACUUUGAAAAAGUUCACAUUCUUGACAUCACACCCACCAGUCUAUUACUGUGGAUUCCUGUUUCCAGCACAGAAUAAAAAAGUAUUUUUAUCUUACA
ensembl:lncRNA